rnacentral:tRNA from 1 species
UAUGGGGUGGCAAACUCCUCUUAUCA